AGGCUCUGGCCCAGAGUGAAGGCGCUGCCGGUAGCCAGGGGAAGGAAGGCCGAUUCUCACACGAAUCUUCGUGCAUUGGGCCCUAGUGUAUAUAUAAAGUCCUGAUUGAGUCUCCUUUACACAUAAGUGGUUUGAUUUUUCUCUUGAAUUAAAACCCAGUUCCAUAACAGAAAUUUCUGUUUCUGCUUUCAAGGCAUGGUGUGGAGAUAAAAGAUAUAUGGAUAUUAUUUUAUUUGACAUCUGAUUAGACCAUCCUCGACAUUCAGUUAAGUUUAGAGAAUACAGGUCUGAUUUGGCCCAGGUGCUGUGGUUUCAGACCUGGUUUGCAGUGUAGUUCUCAACUGUAGCCCAAAGCUAAAGCUAAUGGUAGGAUUACUGGUCAAGUCUGAUGCGAUUGGAAGAACAGUGCCAGAUUGAUUAAUUUUGUUUUUAAGUGUUGUGAAGACAAUUGAGCCAUGAGAAGAAGUUGACAUUUUGAACUGGCAAACAGCUUGGGCACUUAGGCACAAUUCCAGCUAAAUUAUCCUAAGAACACUCUUCUCCAACAUAGGAAUUCCAGUGGAAUAAGAGAUGGUAACACAAGAUGCACCAGGAGACUCGAGGUUUUGUGUGUUUGA